rnacentral:rRNA from 1 species
UACAGAGGAGCCAAGCGUUGUCCGGAUUGACUGGGCGUAAAGCGCACGCAGGCGGAUGCGCGCGUGGGGUGUGAAAUCUGGCCGCUUAACGGCCAGGCGCCAUCCCAUACGGCGCGUCUGGAGUGAUGCAGAGGUCGAUGGAAUUGCCGGUGUAGUGGUGAAAUGCGUAGAUAUCGAGAGGAACACCUGCGGCGAAGGCGGGUUGCUGGGCCGACACUGACGCUGAAGCGCGAAAGCUAGGGGAGCGAACGGG